AUAACUGACGCUGAGGCACGAAAGCGUGGGUAGCAAACAGGAUUAGAUACCCUGGUAGUCCACGCCCUAAACGAUGCAUAUUUGGUGUGGGCCAUUCAUUUGGUCUGUGCCGGAGCUAACGCGUUAAAUAUGCCGCCUGGGGAGUACAGUCGCAAGGCUGAAACUCAAAGGAAUUGACGGGGGCCCGCACGAGCGGUGGAGCAUGUGGUUUAAUUCGACGCAACGCGAAGAACCUUACCUGGGCUCGAAAUGCUAUGGACAGUCUGUGAAAGCGGAUCUUCCCGCAAGGGACCGUAGUAUAGGUGCUGCAUGGCUGUCGUCAGCUCGUGUCGUGAGAUGUUGGGUUAAGUCCCGCAACGAGCGCAACCCUUGUCCUGUGUUGCCAUCAUUUAGUUGGGAACUCGCAGGAGACCGCCAGGGAUAACCUGGAGGAAGGUGGGGAUGACGUCAAGUCCUCAUGGCCUUUAUGUCCAGGGCUACACACGUGCUACAAUGGACGGUACAAAGGGCUGCCAACCCGCAAGGGGGAGCCAAUCCCAAAAAACCGUUCUCAGUUCGGAUUGCAGGCUGCAACUCGCCUGCAUGAAGCUGGAAUCGCUAGUAAUGGUGGAUCAGAACGCCACCGUGAAUACGUUCCCGGGCCUUGUACACACCGCCCGUCACAUCACGAAAGUGGGUUGUACUAGAAGUCCGCACGCCGACCCGCAAGGGGGGCAGCGGCCCAAGGUGUGACUCAUGAUUGGGGUGAAGUCGUAACAAGGUAGCCGUAGGAGAACCUGCGGCUGGAUCACCUCCUUUCUG
rnacentral:rRNA from 1 species